GACGAACCGUGCGAACGUUGUUCGGAUUCACUGGGCUUAAAAGGCGCGUAGGCGGUCGACCAAGUCUGGGGUGAAAUCUUUCGGCUUAACCGGAAAAGUGCCCCCGAUACUGGCCGGCUAGAGGGAGAUAGGGGCAUGUGGAACUUCCGGUGGAGCGGUGAAAUGCGUAGAUAUCGGAAGGAACGCCGGUGGCGAAAGCGACGUGCUGGAUCUCUUCUGACGCUGAGGCGCGAAAGCCAGGGGAGCAAACGGG
rnacentral:rRNA from 1 species